CCUACGGGUGGCAGCAGUGAGGAAUAUUGGUCAAUGGGCGCGAGCCUGAACCAGCCAAGCAGCGUGAAGGAUGACUGCCCUACGGGUUGUAAACCUCUUUUAUAAAGGAAUAAAGUCAGGCACGUGUGCCUUUUUGUAUGUACUUUAUGAAUAAGGAUCGGCUAACUCCGUGCCAGCAGCCGCGGUAAUACGGAGGAUCCGAGCGUUAUCCGGAUUUAUUGGGUUUAAAGGGAGCGUAGGGGGGUUGUUAAGUCAGGUGUGAAAGUUUGCGGCUCAACCGCAAGAUUGCAAUUGAUACUGGCAGUCUGGAGUAGAUGUGAGGUAGGCGGAAUGCGUGGUGUAGCGGUGAAAUGCAUAGAUAUCGCGAAGAACUCCGAUUGCGAAGGCAGCUUAC
rnacentral:rRNA from 1 species